CGCAGGAGCCAUUUCCGGGCGGGGCGGGGCCGCUGGCGGCCGGAUCUCCAAUCUCGGCGGUGGUGGAGGCUGCAGGGGGAGCCCGCGCCUAUCCUUCGGCGAGUCAGUCUCAUUGUGAGGAGGACCCGGACCGGCGAAGGGGAGGCACCGAAAGGAGGGCUGGAAGAGGAAGAUGCCGAGUACGGACCUUCUCAUGUUGAAGGCCUUUGAGCCCUACUUCGAGAUUUUGGAGGUGUAUUCCACAAAGGCCAAGAAUUAUGUAAAUGGGCAUUGCACCAAGUAUGAGCCCUGGCAGCUCAUUGCAUGGAGUGUCGUGUGGACCCUGCUGAUAGUCUGGGUAUAUAAGUUUGUCUUCCAGCCAGAGAGUUUAUGGUCGAGGUUUAAAAAGAGAUGUGUUAAGCUCAUCAGGAAGAUGCCUGUUAUUGGUCGCAAGAUCCAAGAUAAGCUGAACAAGACCAAGGAUGAUAUUAGCAAGAACAUGUCAUUCCUGAAAGUGGACAAAGAGUACGUCAAAGCCCUGCCCUCUCAAGGCCUGAGCCCGGCUGCAGUUCUGGAGAAGCUCAAGGAAUACAGCUCUUUGGAUGUCUCGUGGCAAGAAGGGAAAGCCUCCGGAGCCGUGUACAGUGGGGAGAAGGAGCUCACCGAACUCCUGGUGAAGGCUUACGGAGAUUUUGCAUGGAGUAACCCGCUGCAUCCAGAUAUCUUCCCAGGACUGCGUAAGAUAGAGGCAGAGAUUGUGCGGAUGGCUUGUUCCCUGUUCAAUGGGGGACCAGAUUCCUGUGGAUGUGUGACCUCUGGGGGUACAGAAAGCAUACUGAUGGCCUGCAAAGCUUAUCGGGAACUGGCCUUUGAGAAUGGGAUCAAAACUCCAGAAAUCGUAGCCCCCCAGAGUGCCCAUGCUGCAUUUGACAAAGCAGCCAAUUACUUUGGGAUGAAGAUUAUACGGGUUCCACUGAACAAAAUGAUGGAGGUGGAUAUUCGGGCAAUGCGGAGAGCCAUCUCCAGGAACACUGCCAUGCUCGUCUGCUCUACCCCCCAGUAUCCUCACGGUGUGAUAGAUCCUGUCCCCGAAGUGGCCAAGCUGGCUGUCAAAUACAAAAUACCUCUUCAUGUGGAUGCUUGUCUGGGAGGCUUCCUCAUCGUCUUUAUGGAGAAAGCCGGAUACCCAUUGGAGCAGCCCUUUGAUUUCCGCGUGAAAGGCGUCACCAGCAUUUCAGCUGAUACUCAUAAGUACGGCUAUGCCCCCAAAGGCUCUUCAGUGGUGUUAUACAGCGACAAGAAGUAUAGAAACUAUCAGUUCUUCGUUGCCACGGACUGGCAAGGCGGCAUCUACGCUUCCCCCACCAUGGCGGGCUCACGGCCUGGCGGCAUUAGUGCAGCCUGUUGGGCCGCCUUGAUGUACUUCGGUGAGAACGGCUACGUUGAAGCUACCAAACAGAUCAUCAAAACCACUCGCUUCCUCAAGGCAGAACUGGAAAAUAUCAAAGGCAUCUUUGUCUUUGGGAAUCCUCAGUUGUCAGUCAUUGCUCUGGGCUCCCGAGAUUUUGACAUCUUCCGACUAUUUAACCUGAUGACUGCCAAGGGGUGGAACUUGAACCAACUGCAGUUCCCACCCAGCAUUCAUUUCUGCAUCACGCUGGUACACACCCGGAAGCGAGUGGCCAUACAGUUCCUAAAGGACAUCCGGGAAUCCGUCACUCAGAUCAUGAAGAAUCCUAAAGCCAAGACCACAGGAAUGGUAGGGACCCCUGGGCGGGGGGGGGGGGGGUUCCUUCCUGUCGAAGGGUAGGUGUUGGUGGGGGUUUGAAAGAAUCAGGUAUCCUCAAGUCUGUUGCUGCAUUUGCCCCCGCCCCCCUUUCCACCAUCCUCUUCCUUUGGAGCUGAUGCUCUCUGCCUCACCCCUCCCAGGGUUUUUAGCCUCAAAUGAGCUAUGCUGUAUAUAAUAAGCAUGCUCUAAAUUUGAAAGUGCUAGACAAAGGCAGAUGGGGGCAGUGUCCAUUUGAAGAAAAUUUUGACACAGGGACACAGUAGAGGACUUUUUCCUCUAUAAUUUUCUACACCAAAUCCCACAGGAUAGUUCUUUGGGCAGAAAGGCAGAGGCAGGUCCCUGUGAAAGAUGUCCUAGGCCAGCUGUCUUUCUGCUAGAAGAGCACCUGGGGUGGGAAUGGAGUUGGGGUGUGGGGGGGUGGAGCACAGGGAGCACAACAAGGACCGGUAAAGGAGGCAUGACCACAGCUUUAUCUUGGCUUUGAGCCCCUUGUCACUAAUGAUGUCCUUUGAUGGGUUUGUAGGGUGCGAUCUACGGCAUGGCCCAGGCUACCAUCGACAGGAACCUGGUGGCAGAAUUGUCCUCCUUCUUCUUGGACAGCCUUUUCAGCACAGACGCUGUACCUCAGGGCAGCCAGAUGAAUGGUUCUCCAAAACCCCGCUGAGCUGGGACCCUCUGUAGCUCCGAGGGGCGUCUGGCCUCUGGAAGGUUCUCGGGGUAUGGGACAGGCCCCGCCGUUUCAACAUCUGGUCUUGCUCCUUAGAGCACAGCGAAACAGACCAUGAGACAGCUUGAUCCUCAGGACUCUUGUUUCCAUCCUUUUGUGGUUUUUAACGUGAAGACCCAAAGGAUUCCGUGACAUAAUUAUUUCGCCCUUGUUCUAAAUGCGACCCUGGGACUUCUUUUAACUGUUCCCUUCUCUAACCUCUCUCUCUCUCUCAACUUCACUUAGUCACAUUGUGGCAGCUCUGACCUGGCCCGACUCCUUAGGGAACCUGGGCUGCAGUUUAUGCGGUAGGAACAGGUUGGCUUUGUUACCUCGGGCAGAUGGGCUGGUCAGACAGGAAGCGUUCCCUAACCAAUGUCUCCCUGGGUGGAGUAAGGCUUUCUCUAAGCAGGAGGCUUUUCCGGCUCUCCUCUUAGAGUGGUGAUUGUCGCAGAGUCCCUUUGACUGCAGCUCGUGUUAUUUCUCCAGGGUGCAGGUUGAAGAGCCGUUGAUUCUGUGAGGCAGGGUGCUUGCAGUCAAGUGGAUCUGCUCAGUCCGCCAAGGAGAGCUUGGAGCGGUCUGCUGGUCCUCUUCUUUGCCUGCAGUUUCCAUUUGAUACUUGACUGAAGAUUGUUGUUUGAAACUGUGUUCCCAUUGGUUCAUUCCUAUUUCCAUGGACUGGGAAGAGAUUGCAGUUUCCAGAGAAUCUAGGACCUUCAGGCCCUGGUGCUGCCUCUCUGAACUGGCAGUAUUCAGAACACACCUGAACCUUCUCUUGGGCCAGUGAUAAUCGGAACCAGACCUUUUCUAUACUUUUCUGAGUAUCAGAGUAGGACGAGCACCCAAAUUCAAAUGUGUGCCUCACCAGAGUUGGUGGUGGGGAUGCAUGAGACUAUGCUUGAAAGAACAGCUCAAAGCACCUUCACAAGUUGCCUUGACUUACCUGAGGUGGCCGUGAGGAGGGCAUGAGAGGGCCCUCAAGGCCAGGGAAAUCUCUUUCUGCAUUAGUGUGUCUUCCUGCCUCUUCCCCCUUUAUUCAGAUCCCAAAGGUACUCUGGCAGUUAAGCCUCAGGUACUGGACGCUCCUCAGCCCUGCUAGUCUGAGAUAAACUUUCUAGAAUAGGAAAGUGAUGGCAAAUGUCACGUGUGGUCUAGAGCCUGGGAUUCCUUCCUAAGACUAGUUGCUCAGGGUGGUGCAGGGACAGGACCCAACCCUGCACCCACCUCCUACCCUCUUCCCCCUUACAGAGCCCUGAUCCAGGGCGAGCCACUGUCCUCUCAUGACGAACAUACCUUGUGCCUUCCUCCUCAGCCAAGGGUGGUGAUGGGCUGAUCCUGACUCAGGCCUGAGGGGAAAUGGACCAGUCUCUGAGGUUUUGAUCUGGGUAGGGCUAAGUCAGGAGAACUUCCCACUGUUCCACCACCUGUCUCAGGGACUCCUGAAUAUUCUGCCUCUUCAGGCUGGUAUCCACUCGCCUCCUUGACUGGGAAUGCUGGCCGGGACAACCAAGAUGCCCAGGCCACCCCUCCUCCCCCAAGCUCCUUGGCGUGUUUGUCUGACAUGUUCUUUAGCACUGUACUUCCUCCACAAUAACUGAGCAGCUGGCCUUGCCGUGGCAGGGCUGGUGUGGUGUGUUUCAUUCUGUCUGUUGUGGGUUCCAAUGGCGGUUGGUGUGAGUGAGGAGGCAGAGGCUGAGAUUCAUGGGAGUCAUGCUCCCCUUGGUUGCUGAACUGCUGUGUGCCUCCUGAGCGAGGAGCUGUGGUCAGAGCUGUGUGUGAACUGUCCCUGAGUCUCCAGUGUGUAUGUGUCAUGCUGGAGGAAGUCCAGGGACCAAGAACUGCCCAGCAGGCACCAUUGUGGUUUGUCAGCUGCUAAAAUGGAGAAGCACGUGCCUUGCCACAUGUGCUGUUGCUUCCAGGACCUCCCUCCGUGCUGUGACAUUGCUGCUGGGGUUGGGGGGGCAAUGGUGUUUUUCAAAGGGACCUGCUGUUGCCACUUUAAUUUAUGAUUGUGAGCAUUAGUUUGACUCAACAUGUGUGGGCUUUCUAUUCUGUAUGUUUCUGUGCCUAUUAGUAAUACCUAGUCUGGCAGAGAUGGGUGGAAUGUCUUAAUGGUAUCAUGUUGCUAGCAGAUGUCACAUUGGCCUCUGCAAAAACUGUACUGUCAUGUUUCUGCAUUAGAUGUAAGUAGUUGUGUGAAUAUACUGCCAUGUCACUUUUAAGAUGACCAGUUUUGUACUUGGAAAAUGGUACUUGGCUCUUUUCAGUCUUUUCUGUCUAACCUCCUCCUUUCCCAUCUCAGUGCUCCCUUCCUAACUGCAGCAAUAAUCUCUUAAGAAACAAGUAAUUAAAUAUCCUAAAUCUUAAUCAUUGUGGAUGAUUGCAUUCAUUUGUUUAUUUUGGUGUACAGGGGAGAGACCUGCUGGGGUGGUGGCAGCUCCAAACCCACUGCUGGUGAGAGCGCCUGCGCCCCCUUGUGGUGAAAAUGGUUGUGUGUGACUGCUGACUAGACGUAGGUUUUUCCUUCCAUCUCCAUCAUCCACAUCUGCUUAGACCGGAAUGAUGGAUUGAGCCAUCUGGGGUGGUCCCCUGCCAGCUGGAUGGUAUGGCUCUGUCUCACCAAAGGACACGGAUUUCAUCCCUUCAGAUAUCUGCACAUGUAACUGCUAGGCAUCUCGUUCCAUUAUGAAUAGGAAGUGAAAAGUGUUUCUGAAGAGUUAUUCAGGCUGUGAAGACUGUCAUUCAGGUAAUGCAGGUUUUCAUUUCUGGCUCUCAGCCCAUUCAUUCUUUGCCAGAAACAAGUCAAGCAGUGCCGCCUUUGCUAUACAGUUUUCUGCUAAAUGACUUGGUUCCCUGAGCACCUGCUUGCUUUGGAGUAAACCCCUAGAGAAAGAGGGGCCAGGAUAUGCUUGGUGAGGAGGCAUGCCCACCUAAGAAGUGGUGUCUGGAUGCUUACGCCUGUUCCUUAGAGCUGUGAGCCCCUUUGCCGUUGCUGUGGGUCUUGGUAACUACACGCUGCUUGUAGCUAGACCAGUAGUGAGUGACAGAAGUUUAAUGACAGAGACCUACCUUGCUUAUGGCCUGGGUCAGCAAUAUUCAGAUGUUUAAGGGCCUUUUCUUGCGCUGGAGUAGUAAUUGCUUUUUUCUUGUUCUUGCCUCUUUUUCAUAAUCUCUCCUUAACAUCCUCUCCUAUAAUUUCAAUUAUUUGCAUUAAUUUUAGAAACUUCUAAAAGUUGUUGCUUGUUACAUAAAGAUAAAAGUGAACAGCAAAAUCAUAAAAUGUCAGGGAGGAGAGGAAAAAAAUGUAUUUUCAGGAUGUUAAAUCCCCCCCCAAAAAAACCAGAAUACAUGUUCUUUUCAAGUAUACAUGGAACAUUCUCUAGGAUACAUCAUCACACACAAGGUCACAAAACAAGCUUAAAUUUAAGUGGAAAGAAAAUACAUCAAGCAUUUUUUCUGAUCACAUGGCUUGAAACUAAAAAAUCAACCACAGGAAAGAGAAACGAGAAAAAAAGGAUUACAUGAAGACAAAACAACAUGCUACUAAAAAAUCAAAGGGUUAGUGAUGACAUCCAAGAUGAAAUUUUUAAAAAACCUUGAGACAAAUGACAAUGAAGAUACAACCAUAGAAAAUCAAUGGGAUGGAGCAAAACUAUCCCUAAGAGGCAAAUUGAUAAGGAUAAAGGCCUUCCUCAAAAAAAAAAAAAAAAAAAAAAAGAAAAA